rnacentral:rRNA from 1 species
GAUGAACGCUAGCGGCGUGCUUAACACAUGCAAGUCGAACGGUGAAGCAGGGAGCUUGCUCCUUGUGGAUCAGUGGCGAACGGGUGAGUAACACGUGAGUAACCUGCCCCAGACUCUGGGAUAAGCGUUGGAAACGACGUCUAAUACCGGAUACGAGACGAGAAGGCAUCUUCAUCGUCUGGAAAGAAUUUCGGUCUGGGAUGGACUCGCGGCCUAUCAGGUAGUUGGUGAGGUAAUGGCUCACCAAGCCUACGACGGGUAGCCGGCCUGAGAGGGUGACCGGCCACACUGGGACUGAGACACGGCCCAGACUCCUACGGGAGGCAGCAGUGGGGAAUAUUGCACAAUGGGCGAAAGCCUGAUGCAGCAACGCCGCGUGAGGGACGACGGCCUUCGGGUUGUAAACCUCUUUUAGCAGGGAAGAAGCGAAAGUGACGGUACCUGCAGAAAAAGCACCGGCUAACUACGUGCCAGCAGCAGCCGCGGUAA